CCUGUUGAUAUCAUUGUUAUUAUGUAUUUUAAUUUUCAUGAGUAUUAUUGUGAUAUGUGUAAGCAAUUACAGUGUAUAUAAUAUCCAAUAUGUGAAAUGGAAGCAUGUAUACUAUUAUAGCAAUAUAUUUGUUUAUUAUUAUUAUACAGGACAUAUUUUAUAGAGAUCUAAUGGAGGGCAGAAGAGCUGCAGGUCAUCCAAAAGAUAUGAGGCACAUGACAGGCCCACAUGGAGGGCAAGCAAAAAGAAGGGGUCUUGGAUCAUAGAUGGUGAACACAGUAAGAGCAGGAAAAAGCUUAAAAACACUGCAGCCUUUGGUAAUUUCAAAUUCUCAACACUUGUGUCUUUUGAUGUGUAUCGUAAUACGGAUUAGUCUCUCUAAUCACAUGAGAAGUUGCAAGGGCGAAGGAUUAUUUCUCUACACCUAAAUGCCACAGAAUCAUAAUAGCAUCAUAACAGUAAACUAUUACCAUAUAAUACAUAUAUACAAUGAUAGUUUUUUAUGUAGGUACUAUAAUUGAAUGUAUUUUGUUAUUAUGAAGUAUUUUGAUUCAUUUCGUUACAGAAACAUGGAGGCACAGUGGUUGAGCAGUAAAGCCCUUUGCUUCUGAACCGAGGGUCCCAGGUUAAAAUCUCGGUGAAGACUGGGAUUUUUAAUUUUUGGAUAUUUGUUUUCCUCUAAGUCCACCCUGCUCUAAUGGGUACCUGACAUUAGUUGGGGUUGGACCACAGAAACAGAUGACCUUUUCAUCAUCUACCCUAUAGAUCACAAGGUCUGAAAGGGGGAACUUUACUUUACUUACAGAAACAUGAACUGGGGUAGAGGUAGCCAUAGGCUGACAUGAGUAACAGGCCAGCAAGAUGAGGAAUGGCUAUUCGAGAUCAGGCAAUAUGGUCAUGCGAUCGUCUAGAAAGAACUGGCGUUUCUGUCAUUUUUGAGAAGACACUCGGGAAACCUAUGAGAGCGAGAAUGUGGCAAGUCAAGAGUGUUCGAUGCAGUAGAGUUCACUACAAGUUCAGUAAAGCAAUACGGUUCAGAACAUAGGUUAUAAAGUCAGACAUUUGGUGUUACCAAUUGUAUUUGGCUGUAAAUUUAUUUAGACCCAAUAAAGUGCCACGCUGUUUGGACCCAAGUG